AGACUAUGUAGACGGUGAAAGCAGACUUCGUCAUUCAUCAAAUUUUUCUGAUUGGAAUGAAUUGAUGGUAUCGCAAUUACCGAAAUUCAAGUCAAAUUUGGCAGUGUCUAUAGAUUUUUUAAACGGGUAUUAUGCAACCAAAAAAUUAUACAAAUCAGAUUUCUACUAUAAAGUUCAAUUUGCAUUUGAUCAUGGAAAGUUUCAAACAACUUGGAUAAUGGCAGUUAUUCCUAAAAGCGAAUUAAUUUUGUCAGAAAUCAACUUUUUUUUUAUAUACAAUAGAGAAUCUAUUGUUAAAUUUAAAUAUACAUAUAAUUACGCCUCUUUAAAAGACGUAGGAGAAAACACUGCUAUAAAAUAUUUUUGGGAACAAUUGGGAGAGGAGGACAUGGAGAAUGCCUUGAGAUUCCUAUCCUUGGCACCGCUUGUCCUUGUUGGCAUAGUGUCAUACAAGAUUUAUUUGUCGAACACAAAUAAAAGUUGAGAUGGCAUUGAAGAGCUUUUUUGUGUCUUUUGUGGUAUAAGUAACUGCAGCAAAAAUCUAUCGAUCAAUCUUGGUGUAGCUAUUUCAUUGUGACAUAAUAAGGCCUAAUAUUGUCAUCUUCAGAUUUUUGCUAUAAAAGUCUAAAUUUGACCCCAUAAUUCUUUAUUAUUAUC